ANUCCGUGCCAGCAGCCGCGGUANUACGGAGGUGGCAAGCGUUGUUCGGAUUUAUUGGGUGUAAAGGGUAUGUAGGUGUCCUGAUAAGUCGAGCGUGAAAUCCCUNGGCUCAACCAAGGAACUGCACUCGAUACUGUCAGGAUUGAGUAUGGAAGAGGAGAGUGGAAUUCCCGGUGUAAGGGUGAAAUCUGUAGAUAUCGGGAGGAACACCAGUGGCGAAAGCGGCUCUCUGGUCCAAUACUGACACUGAAAUACGAAAGCUAAGGGAGCAAACAGGAUUAGAUACCCUGGUAGUCUUAGCAGUAAACGAUGGACACUAGGUGUAGGCCGGUUACGGUCUGUGCCGCAGCAAACGCAUUAAGUGUCCCACCUGGGGAGUACGGCGGCAACGUUGAAACUCAAAGGAAUUGACGGGGACCCGCACAAGCGGUGGAGCAUGUGGUUUAAUACGACGCUACGCGUGGAACCUUACCAGGACUUGACAUGCUGGAAGUAGAAACCUGAAAGGGAGACGACCCGUUAAAUCGGGAGCCAGCACAGGUGUUGCAUGGUUGUCGCCAGCUCGUGUCGUGAGAUGUUGGGUUAAGUCCCGCAACGAGCGCAACCAUCGUCAUUAGUUGCUACUCUUGGUUUACCAAGAGGCACUCUAAUGAGACUGCCAGUGUUUAACUGGAGGAAGGUGGUGACGACGUCAAGUCAGUACGGCCCUUAUGUCCUGGGCUACACACGUGCUACAAUGGCCGGUACAGAGAGAAGCGAUACCGCGAGGUGGAGCAAAUCUCAAAAAGCCGGUCUCAGUUCGAAUUGAAGGCUGCAAUUCGCCUUCAUGAAGCUGGAAUCGCUAGUAACCGCAGAUCAGCUAUGCUGCGGUGAAUACGUUCCCGGGUCUUGUACACACCGCCCGU
rnacentral:rRNA from 1 species